rnacentral:rRNA from 1 species
GAUGAACGCUGGCGGCGUGCUUAACACAUGCAAGUCGAACGGUGAAGCAGGAGCUUGCUCUUGUGGAUCAGUGGCGAACGGGUGAGUAACACGUGAGCAACCUGCCCCUGACUCUGGGAUAAGCGCUGGAAACGGCGUCUAAUACUGGAUAUGUGAUGUGACCGCAUGGUCUGCAUCUGGAAAGAAUUUCGGGUGGGGAUGGGCUCGCGGCCUAUCAGCUUGUUGGUGAGGUAAUGGCGCACCAAGGGGUCGACGGGUAGCCGGCCUGAGAGGGUGGCCGGCCACACUGGGACUGAGAGACGGCGCAGACUCCUACGGGAGGCAGCAGUGGGGAAUAUUGCACAAUGGGCGGAAGCCUGAUGCAGCAACGCCGCGUGAGGGAUGACGGCCUUCGGGUUGUAAACCUCUUUUAGCAGGGAAGAAGCGAAAGUGACGGUACCUGCAGAAAAAGCACCGGCUAACUACGUGCCAGCAGCCGCGGUAA